UGACCUCAGAUCAGGCAAGGCUACCCGCUGAAUUUAAGCAUAUUAAUAAGCGGAGGAAAAGAAACUAACAAGGAUUCCCCUAGUAAUGGCGAAUGAAGCGGGAACAGCUCAAAUUUAAAAUCUCCGUUGCUUGCAACGGCGAAUUGUAGUUUCGAGAAGCACUUUCUCGGCGGAUCCGAGGUCGUCCAAGUUGCUUGGAACAGCACGUCGUAGAGGGUGACAACCCCGUCUGCGGCGAUCUCGGCCGUUCACGAUGUGCUUUCGACGAGUCGGGUUGUUUGGGAAUGCAGCCCAAAAUGGGUGGUAAACUCCAUCUAAAGCUAAAUAUUGGCACGAGACCGAUAGCGAACAAGUACCGUGAGGGAAAGAUGAAAAGCACUUUGAAAAGAGAGUUAAAAAGUACGUGAAACCGUUAAAAGGGAAACGAAUGGGGUUAGCAAUGCGUCGUGCGAGAUUCAGCCGGUGGGUGGGCCAGGCGGGCGGUUGGCGGAUCUGAAUGGAC
rnacentral:ncRNA from 1 species